rnacentral:misc_RNA from 1 species
GAUGAAGAACGUAGCGAAAUGCGAUAAGUAAUGUGAAUUGCAGAAUUCAGUGAAUCAUCGAAUCUUUGAACGCACAUUGCGCCCCCUGGUAUUCCGGGGGGCAUGCCUGUUCGAGCGUCAUUACAACCCUCAAGCUCUGCUUGGUAUUGGGCCCCGCCAGUUCUGGCGGGCCCUAAAGUCAGUGGCGGUGCCUUCCGGCUCCGAGCGUAGUAAUUCUUCUCGCUCUGGAGACCCGGUUGUGUGGUUGCCAACAACCCCCAAUUUUUUAAGGUUGACCUCGGAUCAGGUAGGGAUACCAGCUGAACUUAAGCAUAUCAAUAAGCGGAGGA